GGGGGGGUGUUGGGGUGGGGGUGUUGUUAAUCCUACUGGGAUGGCUGAAGAUUGAUUAGCAUUUGAUUAACAUCCCCCUUUAGUAGAGAAUUGGAAAUAUUGACAAAUGGUAAAACAAUUGGGGUUGCUUGAGAUGAUAGUGAAAAGGAAAUAAUAGUUAUAGUUGUAAAUCACUCAUUAGAAGCUUCUUUGGGUUUUCAAAUUUUGUUUAAUCUAAUUUCAAUUAUCUUCCAUUUUUCAUACAACCUGGUUUCAUGAAGGCAUGAAUCAUAUUCUCGGGGUG
rnacentral:misc_RNA from 1 species